rnacentral:rRNA from 1 species
UACGAAGGGAGCUAGCGUUGUUCGGAAUCACUGGGCGUAAAGCGCACGUAGGCGGAUCUUUAAGUCAGGGGUGAAAUCCUGGAGCUCAACUCCAGAACUGCCUUUGAUACUGAGGGUCUCGAGUCCGGGAGAGGUGAGUGGAACUGCGAGUGUAGAGGUGAAAUUCGUAGAUAUUCGCAAGAACACCAGUGGCGAAGGCGGCUCACUGGCCCGGUACUGACGCUGAGGUGCGAAAGCGUGGGGAGCAAACAGG